rnacentral:rRNA from 1 species
GUAAUGCGUGACCAACCUGCCCCAUGCUCCAGAAUAGCUCUUGGAAACGGGUGGUAAUGCUGGAUGCUCCAACUUGACGCAUGUCUUGUUGGGAAAGUGUUUAGUGGCAUGGGAUGGGGUCGCGUCCUAUCAGCUUGUAGGCGGGGUAAUGGCCCACCUAGGCUUCGACGGGUAGCCGGCCUGAGAGGGCGGACGGCCACAUUGGGACUGAGAUACGGCCCAGACUCCUACGGGAGGCAGCAGNG